CAGUAGCGUAUAUUAAAGUUGUUGCAGUUAAAAAGCUCGUAGUUGGAUUUCUGGUUGAAGCGACCGGUCGGGCGUUGAUUCGUCUGCACUGGAGUCGGUUUUGGCCAUCCUCUAGGAAAGUGCGUCUGGUAUUAAGUUAUCGGGCGUAUGAUCCUGGUCUUUUACUGUGAAAAAAUUAGAGUGUUUAAAGCAGGCCUUCGCCUUGAAUACAUUAGCAUGGAAUAAUAAGAUAGGACUUUGGUCUAUUUUGUUGGUUUGCAGACCGAAGUAAUGAUUAAUAGGGAUAGUUGGGGGUAUUUAUAUUCCGAUGUCAGAGGUGAAAUUCUUAGAUUUUCGGAAGAUAAACUUAUGCGAAAGCAUUUACCAAGGAUGUUUNCAUUAA
rnacentral:rRNA from 1 species